rnacentral:lncRNA from 1 species
GUUUUGAAAGCCACAGUGCAAGACAUCCUUACUGGAUUUCUAGACUUUCUCUUUGUCUGGAUGGCUAGGGAAAUUUGGAUAUGUAUUACGAAUUCGUAUAACUUUAUUCAAAGCUCCUAACUUGCUGCAGUUUGCAUGUCACUCUAACAAUCUAGCAAGAGGUUGCAGCAAGAGCUAAAUCAGAACUCUCUACCACUUUUUGAAAAUUUAGACCUGGAUCUGAGCUCCUGGCACAGCUCUGUUUCAGCAACCUACUGUGUUGUUCAAUCAAGAAGAAAAAUAGAUGUUUACUCCCUAGGCUGAGACAGUAUGCUAACGCUCAGCAUGAAAAAAUUGGUUUGGAGGUGUUAGAAACAGCAAUACCCUAAAGAAGAGCCACUCAUGAAAACGUCCACAAACAUACCUUCAUAACUAGAAAAAGAAUUCCUAAAGAAAAAAGCCUACCAGCAGCCACCGCUUUUUCCCGUUCGGACUCUUUUUCUUUGUUCUAAGUCCUGCAGGGUUAGUAGUGUGUAAAUAUGUCACGUGUUGAAAGGGUUAAUGGAUUUUAUCUGCUUCAUUUAUACUCACAGGAAAACUACUUAGGUCGAUUUCCUGUAACACAGAGAGAUGUAUCACAACAUGAAACGUUCAGCUGACAGUUUUAUGGCAAGAAAUGGAAGGAGAAGCUCUGUGAGAGCGUGCUUCAAAGAGAAUAAUUAACUUAUUUACCUUGCUGCUGCGUGUGGCAGUCUACUGGGCUUCCAGAUAUUUGCCAGCACAGGCUAAUGGACUUUGGAAAAUCCUGAAAAUAGAUAGCAGAAGGAGGGUAACAGGAAAGUCCUUGAGGGCACAAAUGUGAGCACAUUUGGACCUGUGACAUGGGAUUCAUCUCAUGUAGGCUAGACUUUGACAAUAUAGACAUCUGUGUCUGCGCUAGUUGCCCUGGAUUCUCUCUACGGUCAGUGGGAAGAAAGAGAUUUUUUCCGUCUGGCCUAUUUCAGGCUGUAAAUAAGGAGAGAGACUGGACAUCUUCUGGCACUGUGAGGGCACUCUUGGCAGGCAGAGACUGGAGCUAACGGGGUCAGAGCCUGAAGUUGUGCAGGACUUACGGAGAUCAUUGUGGUGCACUGGAGAAGGCAGUGAAAUAAUUUUUUACUUCGCUUAUAACACGCACUUGAUAAAUGCCAUUACCUGAAAGACAUUUGGCUUGGUUAUCUGUUUCCUAUUUGGGACGUACAUUUGCAGUGAGUCACUUUUUGAUAUGUCAGGGCCACUAAAUCACAGGCGGAUAGAGAAGGUGAGAGUCACAGGAGAACCAUUAUUUCCUCUGGAUAAUGCCAUUAAGUUUCCUGACAAUUCCAGCUGUUUCUUGUUUCCCAGAAUAGAGAUGUUUUACUGUUCAAUCUAUGUGAGUACAGUUCCGUGGUCAUACUGAUUCAUUAUAUUUUCUCACUCUUUCACCUCUUGAUAUUUGUGUAUGUUAAUUUUUUGUGAACCUUUAGACUUCCCCAAGUGAAGAAAAAAAAUGUCAAAUUUACCACUAGACUGCAGGCGACAAUUUUCAGAGAAUUAUUUAUUUGAUAGUUUUAAAAAUAUAAAUGUAUCCCCUUGCUUCUACUGCAGUCUUAAAGUUAUGAUGAAAUAAGAUGGUUUACACAGAGGGGACUAUUGGUUAAAAUACGUUCAAAAAAACCUGCAAAUUAGGGCCUUUUUAGCGAUGUUACACCCGAGCUGUCUGGAACCUAACAUGUCUGGUAUUGGCCAUGGCAGGCUGGACCACUGCUGCGGUUCAUCCUGGCAGUUCUCUGUUGAUUUUGUACAGCAACUGGGGAUUCCCACUGAGCAAGGGUAAUUCUAAAAGAGUGAAGGUAAGUAUCUACAUCUCAGAAUAUUUUUGAUCUCAGCCCAUUUGUAAAGAUCACUUUAUCGUCUUCAAUGUGCAUCUGCUGACGUGUUCACUCUCCUCCUUGCUCAUGUUUCCUCCCCUCAAA